AACGAACGCUGGCGGCAGGCUUAACACAUGCAAGUCGAACGCCCCGCAAGGGGAGUGGCAGACGGGUGAGUAACGCGUGGGAACAUACCCUUUUCUACGGAAUAGCUCUGGGAAACUGGAAUUAAUACCGUAUACGCCCUACGGGGGAAAGAUUUAUCGGGGAAGGAUUGGCCCGCGUUGGAUUAGCGAGUUGGUGGGGUAAAGGCCUACCAAGGCGACGAUCCAUAGCUGGUCUGAGAGGAUGAUCAGCCACAUUGGGACUGAGACACGGCCCAAACUCCUACGGGAGGCAGCAGUGGGGAAUAUUGGACAAUGGGCGCAAGCCUGAUCCAGCCAUGCCGCGUGAGUGAUGAAGGCCUUAGGGUUGUAAAGCUCUUUCACAGAUGAAGAUAAUGACGGUAGUCGGAGAAGAAGCCCCGGCUAACUUCGUG
rnacentral:rRNA from 1 species